UGUGUAGAGGUGAGAAAUUACUGUGUUGUGGCUUGGUAAAUUCUCGCCUUUACAAU
rnacentral:pre_miRNA from 1 species